ensembl:lncRNA
CCGAGGAUGAGCUGGCUGGAUGGCAUCACUGACUCGAUGGACGUGAGUCUGAGUGAACUCCGGGAGUUGGUGAUGGACAGGGAGGCCUGGCGUGCUGCGAUUCAUGGGGUCACAAAGAGUCAGACAUGACUAAGCGACUGAACUGAACUGAACUGACUGAUGGCAGUUCUAUUUCCAGUCUUUUAGGGAAUCUCCACAGUGUUCUCCAUAGUGGAUAGCAGGCCCAUUUUACGACGAAAGAAAAUGAGGAAGCUGCCAUGUUGGGAGCUCCCUGUGGACGCCCACGGGAAGAAGCGGAGGCCUUCCAUCCAGCAGCCCAUGAGGAACUGAGGCCUGCCCGCAGCCACACACCUGAGCGGAAAGCAGAUCAAUCCUCCCCCAGCUGAGCCAGCAGGAAGCUGCCAUGUUGGGAGCUCCCUGUGGACGCCCACGGGAAGAAGCAGAGGCCUUCGGUCCAGCAGCCCGUGAGGAACUGAGGCCUGCCUGCGACCACACACCUGAGCGGAAAGCAGAUCGAUCCUCCCCCAGCGGAGCCAGCAGGUGAGACGGCAGCCCCGUCCCACACCUGACAGCCAGCUCAGCCACGGCCAGAUCCUGACCCGUGGAGGCUGGGCGAUGACACAUGUUGUUUGGGGUGAUGUACUUCACAACAGAGAAUGAAUACACACCACUAAUACGAGUCAGACAUUUGAAGGCCCAUCCGAGACCUCUUCCUGGGCAUUUAUAUGCUAGCAACUAAACCCUCAGAGGAGGUACCUUUGCAUAGAAAUUUUAAGAGGGUCCAGACAAAUCAUAUAAACGUAGAGCUCAACUUGUUCCUAAAGCUCCUUUAUCCAACAUUCUCAGCUUACAGCUGGGAAACUGAGGAACUGAGCCUUUCUCCGAGCCCCCGUGACAUUUGGGAAGGGCCAGGACCUCAGCCUAAUCUGUUUCUCCAUCUAAAGUGUCUACAGAGCUUCAUCCUCACUUCCCUUGCUAUUUAAGGCAGAAAUGAUGCUCUUGGGUUUUGCUCACUAACAUGUUUUAUAUAAAUGGCCUCCACAUGUUAUGCAGUGAUGAAUAUUUGAUGCAAAAGAAGAGGCCCAACAGUACUUGCUCCUUGAUGUUCGCAGUGAAGUUGCUCUGUAUCUCUUUGUAGCCUUUGCUCUCCCCCUCAUGCCCCGGCAGCAACGGAUGGACAUGAAUGGAGUUGUUGGGAGCCCUGGAUAAUGGGAUGCCCAGACGCUUUCUGAACAGAAAAUUGCCACCAGGCCACACACAGGCACGAGGAAAGGGGCUAGUUAUAAGAGCUAGACUGAUGGCUUACCAUCCAGAGAACUGGGCUUCCCAGGUGGCACAGUGCUAAUGAAUCCCCCUACCGAUGCAGGGGAUACAAGAGACAUGGAUUCGAUCCCCGUGUCUAGAAGAUCCCCUGGAGGAGGAAAUGGCUACCCACUCCACCAUCCUCCCCCGAAUAAGUCCAUGGAUAGAAGAACCUGGCCAGCUGUAGUGGAAGGGAAUCACAAAUACUGGGACACUACUGAACACACCACCUGUUCAGUACUUGGCCCCCUGAUGUGAAGAACUGACUCAUUGGAAAAGACCCUGAUGCUGGGAGGGACUGGGGGCAGGAGGAGAGAUGGCUGGAUGGCACCACCGACUUGAUGGACAUGGGUUUGAGCAAGCUCCAGGAGUCGGUGAUGGACAGGGAGGCCUGAUGUGCUGCAGUCCGUGGGGUGGCAAAAAGCUGAACACAACUGACCUGAACUGAACUGAACGCACACACGCGCGCACACACAGCCAGAGAACUGCAGACAUCUUGUAGCUCCUGGGAUGUAGAAAGUGGUUCAGAAGAAUAAGGAGAAUUUUUCAGGGUCCCAAG